GCUCAGUAACACGUGGAUAACUUACCCUUAGGACUGGGAUAACUCUGGGAAACUGGGGAUAAUACCGGAUAUUAGGCUAUGCCUGGAAUGGUUUGCCUUUGAAACGUUCUUUUCGCCUAAGGAUAGAUCUGCGGCUGAUUAGGUCGUUGGUGGGGUAAUGGCCCACCAAGCCUAUGAUCGGUACGGGUUGUGAGAGCAAGAGCCCGGAGAUGGAACCUGAGACAAGGUUCCAGACCCUACGGGGUGCAGCAGGCGCGAAACCUCCACAAUGUACGAAAGUGCGAUGGGGGAAUCCCAAGUGUUAUUCUUAACAGAAUAGCUUUUCAUUAGUGUAAAAAGCUUUUAGAAUAAGAGCUGGGCAAGACCGGUGCCAGCCGCCGCGGUAACACCGGCAGCUCGAGUGGUAGCUGUUUUUAUUGGGCCUAAAGCGUUCGUAGCCGGUUUGAUUAGUCUUUGGUGAAAGCUUGUAGCUUAACUAUAAGAAUUGCUGGAGAUACUAUCAGACUUGAAGUCGGGAGAGGUUAGAGGUACUACCGGGGUAGGGGUGAAAUCCUAUAAUCCUGGGAGGACCACCUGUGGCGAAAGCGUCUAACUAGAACGAUCUUGACGGUGAGUAACGAAAGCCAGGGGCGCGAACCGGAUUAGAUACCCGGGUAGUCCUGGCCGUAAACGAUGUGGACUUGGUGUUGGAAUGGCUUCGAGUUGUUCCAGUGCCGAAGGGAAGCUGUUAAGUCCACCGCCUGGGAAGUACGGCCGCAAGACUGAAACCUAAAGGAAUUGGCGGGGGAGCAC
rnacentral:rRNA from 1 species